CUGACUUUGGACUUUUUGUACGUUACGAGCUCAGAGGCCACAACGACGAGAAUCUUGACGUUGCAAGCAUAGCCGAGCUGUAUUUUUUUCUCGCCCGAUGGAUACUUCCGAAGAAGUGAAAGAAGAAGAAAGAGAUCACGGUUGCUGUUUACACGCACGGGAAAAUCGUGUGGUGAAGGUGGUUUCAGCAAAGACCCGUUGCAAUCGGACUCCCAUUAAAGCAACACCCAUUGUCGCGAAAAACGAGCAUUGUGGCGGCAUUAUUGUGCGUGGCGAAGACGCAUUGUAAUUCACUGCGCUAUUCUCAUGGCGAACACCGUUUCUCGGCGCCUCGUAGCACGACACCUGGUAGGUGUAAAGUUGCCGCCAUUUUCUAUUAUAAGGAUAAUUUGAUACAUAUCGCGGCCGGGAGUUUACGAGGGUCCUGCUGCCCAUCGGAAACAGGCUCGAGAGCGCUAAAUAUAUUCCGCGGUUCUAUCCUACUUCUGCGCUAGUAUAAGGUACCACGAAAAAAAAAAAAA